rnacentral:rRNA from 1 species
GAACCUGCGGAAGGAUCAUUAGAAGAAUAUGUAUCAAGCUUCAUUGUAAGCCUGGAGUUACAGUUCUAACACACUCUGUGUAUCGUUCCUGUUGCUUCCGCGGGGUUGGGGCCUGUCACCGACAGCUCCAGCCAGCCGAUAAGGUUGGUUUCCGUGGGAGGUAUUUUACAAACCAUUUGCAUUUAUUUUGCCUUCUGUCUGAAUAAUGUUUAUAACAAAUGUUAAAACUUUCAACAACGGAUCUCUUGGUUCUCGCAUCGAUGAAGAACGCAGCGAAAUGCGAUAAGUAGUGUGAAUUGCAGAAUUCAGUGAAUCAUCGAAUCUUUGAACGCACAUUGCGCCUCCUGGUAUUCCGGGAGGCAUGCCUGUCCGCGCACCAAGUAAAAAGGAAUAAUUCAGGGUGACCAGGGUUGCCUUGGUACUGAAGGCUGAGUGUUGCUCAUAUGCUCAUUCGCCUUUGAAAUUUACAGGCGGGCGGCUUCAUGUCCUUUCUCAGCGUUAUAGGUUAACUCUUUCGCUAGGACUUGGUGGGCUUGUCCGGCCUUGAAACCCCCAAAUUACCCAGUGGAUGGUCGCGGAUCAGGUAGGGAUACCCGCUGAACUUAAGCAUAUCAAUAAGCGGAGGAAAAGAAAC